UACAGAUUUAUCACACAAAGAACAGACCUGCUGAAUUAAUUCAUACUUAAGUUUACUAUUGAAGUUUGAUUGUGGUGACAGCCAGAUACUUGAGUUUCCUUUGUUCUUUCAUGGUGAUAUGCUUUUCUUUCUAUUAAAUAUCUCUCCAGGGUUCCAUAGCAUCCUUAUCUGCCUGUACUUCCUGAUCCGAAAGGACCCAGAAGACGACACUCUUCUUGGUACUCCAACACCUCAUUCUCAACUUUGAAAUAUAUGACC
rnacentral:lncRNA from 1 species